ACGUAGGGUGCAAGCGUUAUCCGGAAUUAUUGGGCGUAAAGAGCUCGUAGGCGGUUUGUCGCGUCUGCUGUGAAAACUGGAGGCUCAACCUCCAGCCUGCAGUGGGUACGGGCAGACUAGAGUGCGGUAGGGGAGAUUGGAAUUCCUGGUGUAGCGGUGGAAUGCGCAGAUAUCAGGAGGAACACCGAUGGCGAAGGCAGAUCUCUGGGCCGUAACUGACGCUGAGGAGCGAAAGCAUGGGGAGCGAACAGG
rnacentral:rRNA from 1 species